rnacentral:rRNA from 1 species
GACGUAGGGCGCGAGCGUUGUCCGGGAUUUAUUGGGCGUAAAGAGCUCGUAGGCGGUUUGUCGCGUCUGCUGUGAAAACUGGAGGCUCAACCUCCAGCCUGCAGUGGGUACGGGCAGACUAAAGUUCGGUAGGGGAGACUGGAAUUCCUGGUGUAGCGGUGAAAUGCGCAGAUAUCAGGAGGAACACCAGUGGCGAAGGCGGCUCACUGGCCCGGUACUGACGCUGAGGUGCGAAAGCGUGGGGAGCAAACAGG